UUAUCUUUCUGUAAUGUAACUUUUCUUUUACAGAAAAAGGGACAGUUUUGGACACCCAGAAUGAGAAAGUGUAUUACAACGAAUUUUCAGCUGUUGAUUCAAGAGAUAAACAAAGUGGGCAAGAUGUGGUUACUUCCCCGUAUGCAGAACUUAGUGAACUCGACCACCAAAACACUUAUGAAGAACUUCACCAAUAUGAAAAAACAGACGGAAAAUUGUAGAUGUAGAUGUACGCAUUGCUGAUGUUAAUAUUUAAAUGUAGAACUCACGUUCAUCUCUAGAUUUAUUUACAUAGACUUUUUUGAUUGUUUAAUAUCAAUACAUAUUCUUGUCUCUUACAAAUGUAUCGAGAGGACUUGCACUAGACAAAACACUACUCUGGCUCUUACAGUCAUUUUAUAACAUGUACAUAAGAUAAUCACAGUCGGCACAAUAUCGAGCAGAAGAUAGUAUACAUGUACUUAGACAACAGAAGAAAUGCUUACCAA